ACCUAGCCGCCGUUGUCGCCUAACCGAUCUUACCGAGUACUGACAGAUCGCUUUCUUGCUUGCUACCCAUGGCGUCCAGCCUCUAUUUAAUCCUGCCUUCGCUCCAACUUCAACUUCGUGGAUCUCAUCUGUUCUUCAUUCCUGAAGCAAGAAAGGAGUCUGAUUCUACCUCCAACAAGUUGCAUCCAAUGUUUGAUACCAAGAUCAAGCCAUUACGAAUCAAAAUCCAGCUGAGUCCACAUUGCUAACAUGGGGUAAUAAGCAGGAAAUCCCUCGGGCCAAUUUAUUCAUUAUCGAACAUGGUUACAUCAUUUAUGAGCAGUAAACUAGAGGUUCAUCAACCCAAGUACAAAAUUCGGACAAUGUAGAAAUUAAUCUAGGUACCUCAUGAGCUGCCAUGUCGCCUUCAGUAGAACAGAAUUCAAAAGACACCUCAUCAAACGCACUUGCUCGCAACAUGCAACCAUGAAAUGGUGUUGAACUUGCGGUAGUAGAGAAACCCCUGUCGCUUAAUAUAGAUUUAAAGGAGUGGUCCCUUUUAAUUUUUAUAUUUUUUCUUGGAAAAAUGAAAGUAUUGUAAA